AGAACGAACGCUGGCGGCAUGCCUAACACAUGCAAGUCGAACGAGACCUUCGGGUCUAGUGGCGCACGGGUGCGUAACGCGUGGGAAUCUGCCCUUGGGUUCGGGAUAACAGUUGGAAACGACUGCUAAUACCGGAUGAUGACUUCGGUCCAAAGAUUUAUCGCCCAGGGAUGAGCCCGCGUCGGAUUAGCUAGUUGGUGGGGUAAAAGCCCAACCAAGGCAACGAUCCGUAGCUGGUCUGAGAGGAUGAUCAGCCACACUGGGACUGAGACACGGCCCAGACUCCGUAGGGAGGCAGCAGGUGGGAAUAGUGGACAGUGGGACAAAGCCUGAAUCCAGC
rnacentral:rRNA from 1 species